CAGCUGCCGGACUGGUGAUCCGGUUUUAUGCAGAAACAUCAUAAAUCCUGCAGAUCAGAGUCAGAGCAGGUCUAACGGUUUUCUAGAAACUUCAUCCAGAAUGUAGAAACUGUAAGUUUAUCCUCUCGUUCACUCCUUCAUGCUGACAGGAAGUUCUCCUGAACCGCCAUGUCUCCUCAGCGGUGAGCACUGCUAGCUAAAGAGUUAGCUGGGCAGGCUAAUCUCAAAACACAAUAAACAUUAGUUCCGCUUAUGCAAAAGAGAAACACAAACAUAUUUAGCAGAUGCUAAUGCUAAAUAGCUACUCCAAUACCUGUUUAGAGGAAGCUAACGCUAAAGCGCUACACCAACACAGUAUUUAGAGGAGGCUAAUGCUAAAAUGCUAACUUCAAUUCAAAUUCUACUGAAAGACAAAUUAUGUACAUUUUGUUUUGACACAAUUUCUAUAACACCUUAAAUAUUGUACAUCUUGUUCUUGCUCUAUGUUUUACAGUUAAGGGGAAGCUAAGUGGCCAAAUGAGCGGAAAUGUGUCCAACACCGCAAUCACCAUAGCAACCGGUACCUCAGCAUGUUCUGAGCCUCUGCUCCAUCAUGGCCGCCCACACAGAACCUGGCUAACCCAACUGGGUCAGAACUGAUGAACUGAGAACUUAGUGAAGUUCUGUAGAACUCCGCAUUUCCGACGCUUACAAAGCGCUCAGCUGCCAGUAGAAAACAGCUGCAGCCUCCAGGAUCAGGCAGCUUACGCACUGCAGGGAAAUACUGCCCCCAACAGGCUGUAGGUAGGUACUGCAUCUUUUAAAAAAAUUCAAACAUUGAAAUAUUUCACAUUAUUUUAUUCUGGUCCAGAUUAAUGUGAUUUUAAUACUAUGAAACAAUUAUAAAUCUCUGAUGCGUUUGUUGUGAACUGGUUGUGUAUUAAAUCUAAACCCAAACAAUUUUUAAUAAAGAAAAAACAGAAACAGGAGUUAUUUUUUCAGUUUUAAUCAAACAUUUGUUCCAAAAGUUCAUUUACUGAUAAAUCAGCUAAAAAUAUGAUAAAUAUAAAAACAUCAAGCAGUUUCCACCCGAACCUGAGGGUUAAAGACUCUUCA